ACAAGGUAAAUAUGGCUGUUUCUCUUUUAGUGCGAGAAAAACACUUAUACAAGCAACAUUUCUGUCAAUGCUGGAUUAUGGUGAUAUUUUAUACAUGAUUGCAAAUCAAUCUUCUCUGAAAAUGCUGGACUCAGUGUACCAUGCAGCACUAAGAUUUGUAACUAAUUCUAGUUUUCGUACUCAUCACUGUAGCUUGUAUGAGAGCGUUAGUUGGCCUUCUUUGCAUAAUCGCAGGUUGGAGCAUUGGUAUAUUUUUCUUUUUAAGGCCAUACUGUGUAAACUGCCUCCUUAUUUAUGUUCUCUCCUGACUCCUAAAGUCACUACCAGGACAUGUAAUCUUCGAUCAAAUGG